CUAAGUAGGGGGCGAGCGUUGUCCGGAAUGAUUGGGCGUAAAGGGCGCGUAGGCGGCGCGGUAAGUCUGGAGUGAAAGUCCUGCUUUCAAGGUGGGAAUUGCUUUGGAUACUGCCGCGCUUGAGUGCAGGAGAGGUUAUCGGAAUUCCCGGUGUAGCGGUGAAAUGCGUAGAGAUCGGGAGGAACACCAGUGGCGAAGGCGGGUAACUGGACUGCAACUGACGCUGAGGCGCGAAAGUGUGGGGAGCAAACAGGAUUAGAUACCCUGGUAGUCCUCACUGUAAACGAUGAAUAAUAGGUGUGCGGUGACUGACCCCCUGCGUGCCGGCGUUAACACAAUAAGUAUUCCACCUGGGGAGUACGAUCGCAAGGUUGAAACUCAAAGGAAUUGACGGGG
rnacentral:rRNA from 1 species